rnacentral:lncRNA from 1 species
CAGUUCCAUUCAAUCCUCUAGAUCCUAGAGGCUCAGAUCUCUACCUUGCAAAGUGCUGAUUUCAGCCGUGCAACAACAGGGUUGUGACAUUUCUGGAGACAUUUUCUUUCUUUCUUUCUGGAGAUAUAUUUUUGACUCAGAGUCUGAAGAAAUUGUGAUUAAUGUGUACUUAAACAAUCAGUCAAACAAUCAAUUAACCUCGUUUAAUAGACCAAAAAAAUGGAAGCUUUGGAUGCCCAAUUUCAGAAGAAAGAAUGGAGCUGGUGAUGCUAAAGAAGUAAGGAGACAGGGCUCCUACCCUGGUCCAGGGGCCAAAAGGACAAGCAACACAGAAGAUUCUCAGAAGCUGAGGAUAUGGUAACAUUUCCUCUUCUGGCGUGCAUAAUAAGUUCUAUGAUCUGCUGAGUACAAAGAUGGACCCAAGAGAACCAAAUGAACUCCCUGAAUGUACAGUCAGAGCUGGCCAGGGCAAGGCAAAGAGCUAGGGAAGGAAAUGCAUUUCUUUCAUCUCUCUAAUGUAAUGACAGAAAUCGCAUUCUAAAUAAAGCCAAGGAAACCUGUGUUCCA